CAUAAAUCUUGUAAGCUGCUUUUCCAUGACCAGCCAGAACCAGCCUUGAGUGAAGACACCGCCUGUUGCUGGUGGCCACGCUCUCUUCAUUCUGAUUUCAACAAGCAUUUGUCAGCCAGAGAAGCAUUAGAAGGAGAGAAGUGACAGGGCAGCUGGAAUCCGGGAACCUCGCUCUGAUCAGGAAUGAAACUGCCCAGGCUUCUGUGAAAAAUCAGCUUAUCUUCGUGGCCUCAGAAUAUUUUUCAUUGACAGUUGCUUUCUACCAGAGUGGGCUGGGGAAGAAGCCAAAACAAAAUAGACGUUUUGAUGACAACAGACAAAGACCAUAACUACUCUGGUUACCCCAAGUUGAUGCUCAAAUAUUUUGGUAACUGAUAAACAAAGAAACUGCACCAGCUCAAAGACAGAAUCAUCUUUCCUCCUCCUCCUCCUCCUCCUCUUC
rnacentral:lncRNA from 1 species